rnacentral:rRNA from 1 species
AUUGAACGCUGGCGGCAGGCCUAACACAUGCAAGUCGAGCGAGCGGCGGACGGGUGAGUAAUGUAUGGGGACUGCCCGAUAGAGGGGGAUAACUACUGGAAACGGUGGCUAAUACCGCAUACUAUCGGAUAACCCAUAUGGGAUUAGCUAGUAGGUGGGGUAAAGGCUCACCUAGGCGACGAUCUCUAGCUGGUCUGAGAGGAUGAUCAGCCACACUGGGACUGAGAUACGGCCCAGUCUCCUACGGAGGCAGCAGUGGGGGAUAUUGCACAAUGGUCGCAAGCCUGAUGCAGCCAUGCCGCGUGAGGGAUGAAGGCUUGCGGGUUGUAAACCUCUGUCGCGAGCGAACGGGUAGGUGGAGAAGAAGCGCCGGCUAACUACGUGCCAGCAGCCGCGGUAAUAC